UUUUAUAUGAGAGUUUGAUCCUGGCUCAGGAUGAACGCCGGCGGUGUGCCUAAUACAUGCAAGUCGUACGCACUGGCCCAA
rnacentral:rRNA from 1 species